rnacentral:rRNA from 1 species
GGGUUGUGAGGUUAAGCGACUAAGCGUACACGGUGGAUGCCCUGGCAGUCAGAGGCGAUGAAGGACGUGCUAAUCUGCGAUAAGCGUCGGUGAGGUGAUAUGAACCGUUAUAACCGGCGAUUUCCGAAUGGGGAAACCCAGUGUGWUUCGUCACACUAUCAUUAACUGAAUCCAUAGGUUAAUGAGGCGAACCGGGGGAACUGAAACAUCUAAGUACCCCGAGGAAAAGAAAUCAACCGAGAUUCCCCCAGUAGCGGCGAGCGAACGGGGAGGAGCCAGAGCCUGAAUCAGUGUGUGUGUUAGUGGAAGCGUCUGGAAAGGCGCGCGAUACAGGGUGACAGCCCCGUACACAAAAAUGCACAUAUUGUGAG